rnacentral:rRNA from 1 species
GUGCCAGCAGCCGCGGUAAUACGUAGGGGGCAAGCGUUGUCCGGAAUUAAAGGGCGUAAAGCGCGCGCAGGCGGUCUUUUAAGUCUGAUGUGAAAUCUCGUGGCUCUUCCGCGAGCGGUCAUUGGUUACUGGGAGACUUGAGUACAGAAGAGGAGAGUGGAAUUCCACGUGUAGCGGUGAAUUGCGUAGAGAUGUGGAGGAACACCAGUCGCGAAGGCGACUCUCUGGUCUGUCACUGACGCUGAGGUGCGAUUGCGUGGGUAGCGAACAGGAUUAGAAACCCUGGUAGUCC